rnacentral:misc_RNA from 1 species
GAUGAAGAACGCAGCGAAAUGCGAUACGUAAUGUGAAUUGCAAAUUCAGUGAAUCAUCGAGUCUUUGAACGCACAUUGCGCCCCCUGGUAUUCCGGGGGGCAUGCCUGUCCGAGCGUCAUUGCUGCCCUCAAGCACGGCUUGUGUGUUGGGCCCCGUCCUCCGAUCCCGGGGGACGGGCCCGAAAGGCAGCGGCGGCACCGCGUCCGGUCCUCGAGCGUAUGGGGCUUUGUCACCCGCUCUGUAGGCCCGGCCGGCGCUUGCCGAUCAACCCAAAUUUUUAUCCAGGUUGACCUCGGAUCAGGUAGGGAUACCCGCUGAACUUAAGCAUAUCAAUAAGAGGA